rnacentral:lncRNA from 1 species
AGCAGCAAGAGCCGCAAGCCCUAGUCACCUCCUGUGUCUGCCCCAGCCCAGGCCUGGCAAGGUGGCAGGAAAGGCACCAGACCUGGGGGAAGAGCAUGUUCAAAGGCUCUGAGAACAAGGCUGUGACCCAAGACUGACCCAGAGUGACAAUGACAUGAAGAUCAAGGUGCUGGAGGGCAGAGACUCUGCAGCUAACAGUAUGCAAAGCUCUUACAGAGACUCUGAGUUCAGAGUCCCAGCACUCGUGCUGGGCUGCUCACAACCGCCUGAGACUGGAGCUCUGGCCUUCACAUACCUGCCUCACAGACUGUAAAAAUAAAGUCAACUGAGGGCUAGAGAGAUGGCUCAGUGGUUAAGAGCACUGGCUACUCUUCCAGUGGUCCUGAGUUCAGUUCCCAGCAACCACGUGGUGGAUCACAACCACUUGUAAUGGGA